GAUGAACGCUGGCGGCGUGCCUAAUACAUGCAAGUCGAGCGAACAGAUAAGGAGCUUGCUCCUUUGACGUUAGCGGCGGACGGGUGAGUAACACGUGGGUAACCUACCUAUAAGACUGGGAUAACUUCGGGAAACCGGAGCUAAUACCGGAUAACAUUUGGAACCGCAUGGUUCUAAAGUGAAAGAUGGUUUUGCUAUCACUUAUAGAUGGACCCGCGCCGUAUUAGCUAGUUGGUAAGGUAACGGCUUACCAAGGCGACGAUACGUAGCCGACCUGAGAGGGUGAUCGGCCACCCUGGAACUGAGACACGGUCCAGACUCCUACGGGAGGCAGCAGUAGGGAAUCUUCCGCAAUAGGCGAAAGCCUGACGGAGCAACGCCGCGUGAGUGAUGAAGGGUUUCGGCUCGUAAAACUCUGUUAUUAGGGAAGAACAAAUGUGUAAGUAACUGUGCACGUCUUGACGGUACCUAAUCAGAAAGCCACGGCUAACUACGUG
rnacentral:rRNA from 1 species